GCCGAGGUGGUGAAAUGGCAAACACACUAGCUUCAGGAGCUAGCGGGAGAAAUCCCUUGGGAGUUCAAGUCUCCCCCUCGGCA
rnacentral:tRNA from 2 species